GGAGGUAAGCCUCAAGUGGUAGAGUGCAUGCUUAGCAAGCAUGAAUCCCCGAGUUCAAUACUCAGUAUCACCC
rnacentral:tRNA from 1 species